rnacentral:rRNA from 1 species
UAGGGAAUCUUCGGCAAUGGACGAAAGUCUGACCGAGCAACGCCGCGUGAGUGAAGAAGGUUUUCGGAUCGUAAAACUCUGUUGUUAGAGAAGAACAAGGAUGAGAAGAGAAUGUUCAUCCCUUGACGGUAUCUAACCAGAAAGCCACGGCUAAUCUACGUGCCAGCAGCCGCGGUAAUACGUAGGUGGCAAGCGUUGUCCGGAUUUAUUGGGCGUAAAGCGAGCGCAGGCGGUUCUUUAAGUCUGAUGUGAAAGCCCCCGGCUCAACCGGGGAGGGUCAUUGGAAACUGGGGAACUUGAGUGCAGAAGAGGAGAGUGGAAUUCCAUGUGUAGCGGUGAAAUGCGUAGAUAUAUGGAGGAACACCAGUGGCGAAGGCGGCUCUCUGGUCUGUAACUGACGCUGAGGCUCGAAAGCGUGGGGAGCAAACAGGAUUAGAUACCCUGGUAGUCCACGCCGUAAACGAUGAGUGCUAAGUGUUGGAGGGGUUUU